GUAAUGGCUCGUACAGACUACAUGACUUUGAAACGUAGGUCCGAACUGUGCGGUUCACACUACAUGACUUGCUCUCUGUGAAAUCAGGAGUGUUCACGUUGUUGAGCAGUUCACACCACACGACACAACGUGAAUGCCCCACAACAGGAGGUAACGCACUACACGAGUUGAGAACAACUCUAUUACCCAACGAUUCUAUCUUGUCUACAAACCCUGUUCUGUCACGAAAAAUCACGCGAUAAAACAAACCGGAAAUGACGCGAAACUACACGCGCGCCGGUAAAAACCCACAGAAGAAGAAACGAGACGCGCAAAACUUUUGUUUGUAUAUAUAGACUUCAGACAGAAAUAAGUGCUGCAAACCGUUUGCGCGAUGCAAAGCCGCAAAAGAAAAAAAUUAUAGAGAUGUGAUGUGGAGCGGUGGAUCAGCACACGCGGACAGCAGGGAUUAAAGAUUUGAGAAUAGGACAGGCUUCGCAAAACAUGAUUUGGAGAGCGUUUGUCUUUGACCCUGCGAUUCUAUGCAACAGGUGACACGUUCAAGUUCAUCAGGUUCAAGUCCAGGAUGGGAGACCAGCACCAUCUCACAAAUAGUUUUGGAUGUUCUGCUCUGUACCAGGUUAUAAAGGACGAUUUCUUGAAGACACCAUCAACGGAAGGAGAGUGGCAUACAAUAGCCAUGGACUUCGAAAGGAAGUGGCAGUUUCCACAUUGCUUUGGGGUACUUGCUACCACUCCAGCUGUAGCAGACUGCUGACCACAACAUGGAUGAUGGGCAGUGGAAGAUUCACGGGAUGUGUGCUUUUCAACCGAUGAAAUACACCUCACAUCGCAAUUGUAUGGCAAUAGCAAAAGUGCAACGCAAUCUGAUGCGGGACUACUUUGUCUCACCAGCGGGUAGUGAUUAUUGGCAAGUUCAUCACAUUUUAAAAGGAACUGAUGUAGAGUUAUCCCUGCAAACAGCAGAUUAAAGCCAGUUAUUGUCAGUUUAGGACAUUCGUUUUCUUGUGUGUUCUAAAGUCCUGUAUUUGUAAAGAACACACACGUGGUUCACUUAUUCACUGUUUUAAGGAUUCUGUUUAUUGUUGUGUUAUUAUUGAAUACAUUUUAAUUGCAUACAAAUCAAAAGGUGCAGGAAUGUAAUAAAGGCAAUCUGCAUGUUGCAAUUAA